rnacentral:miRNA from 1 species
UAUAUACAUACAUACACACAUAUAUACAUGUGUAUAUAUAUGUGUGUGUGUGUGUGUGUAUGUAUACAAGCUUUA